UACAGAGGAGCCAAGCGUUGUCCGGAUUUACUGGGCGUAAAGAGCGCGCAGGCGGUCGUUCAAGUCGAGUGUGAAAGCCCCCGGCUCAACUGGGGAGGGUCACUCGAUACUGAUCGACUUGAAGGCAGGAGAGGGAAGCGGAAUUCCCGGUGUAGUGGUGAAAUGCGUAGAUAUCGGGAGGAACACCAGUGGCGAAGGCGGCUUCCUGGCCUGUUCUUGACGCUGAGGCGCGAAAGCUAGGGGAGCAAACGGG
rnacentral:rRNA from 1 species